rnacentral:rRNA from 1 species
UCCCUCUUUUAUGUUUAACCUUUUUUUUUUUGUUAAAACUUUAUGACUCCAUAACUUUUAGACCGUGAGGCCAAACUUGGCAUGUGAUACCUUUUCGGAAAGCCCAAAGACAGCCCUCCGACGAAAGAAGCAGGACAAUGGAACUUUUCCAUUGACUUUUUGUCGACCCCAAAUUUUGACCUUUAAGUAUUUUUUCGGGGCAUUUUCGUGAUUUGGGCUAUAUUACGGACCCAAAAUUACUUGUUCAAGCAUUGUUUUCGAAUUUUUUCAUGCAUCAAAGCUCGUUAAGACUAGAUGGUGUAUCCCUACAUAGCGGGUGGACCCACGGCGAAUGGUUCAUCAAGUCUUCAAAAAAGAAUAUAUACGAUUGCAUUGCAUAUACUAACGGAUGCGAUCAUACCAGCACUAAUGCACCGGAUCCCAUCAGAACUCCGCAGUCAAGCGUGCUUGGGCGAGAGUAGUACUAGGAUGGGUACCUCCCGCGG